rnacentral:lncRNA from 1 species
CGCAGACCCCACGACUGUGAGCUCCAGGGUCGGGGGGCCCCGGUUCCCGAAGGAGAAUCUGCACCGCCAGGACACACAGGAACCCCCCCGACCGACCGCAGGUUUCCCCUGUUUACAGGUUAGCGCUUCGCACUCGCAUAAAGGCUCACAGAGCAUCUAUCACCCUUGCCUGUGACACAGACCUGCCAGCAAACGGAUCACGGCGGUGGCGCUCCUCCUAGUCUGAGUUGUUGGUACCGUUCCCACGAUUAACAUAGUCCGCUGUGCAGGAACCGGGAGGAAGCCUGAAACAUAAGGAAUUGAGACCCCGGCCUAGGCCGUCGCAGGACAUCCCUCCAGAACAGGAAGGCUGGGAAGUUGUCCCUUCUCUGCAUUUGAAAAUCCUACCUGCAGGCAAGCAGUUUACCAGUGAAGAGACUGCUUUGCUGGGUUUUCAGACACAUUUCUCCUACCUGAGCUGGGAUUUCUCCACAAAGAUCUUCUGAGAAAGAAACAGAGGAGAAGAUGAAAGAAGAAAUGGCCAGUUCUCAGGUAAGCCCUGUGCCCCUCACUCUAAGCCUGUUGUCUUUUUCUCCAGAAAUUUCAUGCAUGUAGAAAUUGUGGGGACCUGGGUGUCUCUGCCAGUUGAGC